rnacentral:rRNA from 1 species
UAUACAAUUUAACCCUGGUUGAAGUUGAAAUAUAUCUAAUGAUGCUAUAUACGUUUAUUAUAUUAUGCUAAUCCUUGAGCAUAUAAAUUCGAGGUGGUUGUAGUAGUGAGAUCUAUCGUUAUAAAGAAAUUUAGUGAUGGUUGUUAGAUAGUAGAAGAGGCUAAAGCACAGUGCCAGCAGCCGCGGUUAUACUGUAAUUCUUCUUAUUUCUUUUUUGGUUAAAACUUUUAUUGAAAUUUAAAUAAAAUUGGUUGGUUAAAUAGGUUUUUUUUUGAGAAUACUUCAAUGAUGUGUAAAGUUCCAGUAUAAAGACAGGGAUUAGAUACCCCUUUAUUAGGAUAAAAAAUUUUUGUCCACGGUUUCAAACUGAAAGGGUUUGGCAGCAAACUAAAUUCUUCCGGGGGAAGGUGCUUAUUAAAGAGAUGAUCCGCUUAUUAAUUUACUAUAUCUAGUGUUAGUGUAUAUCCGUUUGUAUAUUCACGCUUAGAGGUCAUAAGUGGGUAAAUAUUAAAUAAUU